rnacentral:lncRNA from 1 species
GGGGACAGUUUAGCCAGGGUUUGUUUCUAUUUUAGCUGACAGCAAUUUGCGUGCCGACCAGGAAACCAGGGGUGGGAUGAAAAUAGAGAAUUGCUCAUGGGCUUUUGCACUCAUGAUCCAACACCUGGCUGUUUCUCGGUGUCCAUUCCUGACUUAAAAACAAGAUAACAAAGGUAAAAAUGAAAAAAAAAAUGCAGAGUAGAGACUCUCCAAUAUGCCUGCUGCUGUUGAAAGACAUGGGGACAGCUCUGCUGAAGGAGUCUUCAAGAAAAGGCUGCAUCAAGCCGAGAUGGCAACCCAGUGUAGAUAGCUCAACAGAGGUGCCCAAGAGAGGGCAGAGAUUAAUAGCAGAGAGUCAAAGUGUGGCAUCAUCAGAGGACAUCAGAAGCUCUGCAACAAAGGAGGUAUGAGUUGCCCCAAGAUUAUAUGAGUUUUCUGGCCAAACUUGUCCCAUAUAUGCUUUGUUGUUUUUCAGUCAUUUUUUCAGUCAUGUCUGACCCUUUGUGACCUCAUUUGGAGUUUUCUUGGCAAAGAUUCUGGAGUGGUUUGCCAGUUCUUUCUCUGGCUCACUUUACAGAUGAAGAAACUGAGGCAAAGCGGGUUAAGUGGGCAAGUACCCAGGGUCACACAGCUAAUAAGUGUCUGAGGCCAGAUUUGAACCCAGGAAGAUGAGUCUUCUUGACUCCAGGCCUGGAACUGUAUGUACUAUGGUGUCACCUGGCUGCCCUCAAAGAGCUAGUCCUUUUCUAUAAUGGUCUUUUAAAACCUAGGCCUAGCCCUAUACCGUUAUGAGACUUUAGAGGAGUAGAUCAGUGAAAUUUGUCAAUGUCUUCCCUAAAGCUUACGUGAUUCAGAACUGACCAUGAUGGUUCAGAAGAGGACUGACUGGGGUAGAUUACGUUGAGACUAUCAUCCUUUUGUUCUGGACACUAUAUCUCUGUCACUGUAGCCCAAGUCUCCAUCAUGGCUGCCUUGUUACGCUGUUGAUGC